UCCAAGGGAUAGCUCAGGUGGAAGAGCAUGAGACUUGUAAUCUCAGGGUUGUGGGUUGAGACCCACACUGGGUGGAA